rnacentral:rRNA from 1 species
GAACGCUGGCGGCGUGCUUAACACAUGCAAGUCGAACGGUGAAGCGCCUACCUUUUUGGUGGGUGUGGAUGAGUGGCGAACGGGUGAGUAACACGUGAGUAACCUGCCCCCUUCUUCUGGAUAACCGCAUGAAAGUGUGGCUAAUACGGGAUAUUCUGGGUCUGUCGCAUGAUGGGUCUGGGAAAGAUAUUGUUUCGGUGGGGGAUGGGCUCGCGGCCUAUCAGCUUGUUGGUGGGGUGAUGGCCUACCAAGGCGGUGACGGGUAGCCGGCCUGAGAGGGUGGACGGUCACACUGGGACUGAGACACGGCCCAGACUCCUACGGGAGGCAGCAGUGGGGAAUAUUGCACAAUGGGCGCAAGCCUGAUGCAGCGACGCCGCGUGAGGGAUGGAGGCCUUCGGGUUGUGAACCUCUUUCGCCAGUGAAGCAGGCCUGCCUCGUUUGUGGGUGGGUUGACGGUAGCUGGAUAAGAAGCGCCGGCUAACUACGUG